rnacentral:rRNA from 1 species
GACGAACGCUGGCGGCGUGCUUAACACAUGCAAGUCGAACGGAAAGGCCCUGCUUUUGUGGGGUGCUCGAGUGGCGAACGGGUGAGUAACACGUGAGUAACCUGCCCUUAACUUUGGGAUAACUUCAGGAAACUGGGGCUAAUACCGGAUAGGAGCUCCUGCUGCAUGGUGGGGGUUGGAAAGUUUCGGCGGUUGGGGAUGGACUCGCGGCUUAUCAGCUUGUUGGUGGGGUAGUGGCUUACCAAGGCUUUGACGGGUAGCCGGCCUGAGAGGGUGACCGGCCACAUUGGGACUGAGAUACGGCCCAGACUCCUACGGGAGGCAGCAGUGGGGAAUAUUGCACAAUGGGCGGAAGCCUGAUGCAGCAACGCCGCGUGCGGGAUGACGGCCUUCGGGUUGUAAACCGCUUUCGCCUGUGACGAAGCGUGAGUGACGGUAAUGGGGAAAGAAGCACCGGCUAACUACGU